rnacentral:rRNA from 1 species
GAGUUUGAUCCUGGCUCAGGACGAACGCUGGCGGCGUGCCUAAUACAUGCAAGUCGAGCGAACCAAUUGAAAGCCUAGCUUUCAUGAGGUUAGCGGCGGACGGGUGAGUAACACGUGGGUAACCUGCCCUAUAGACUGGGAUAACUCGCGGAAACGCGUGCUAAUACCGGAUAACACAUCAAAGUGCAUGCUUUGAUGUUGAAAGAUGGUUCUGCUAUCACUAUAGGAUGGGCCCGCGGCGCAUUAGCUUGUUGGUGGGGUAACGGCCUACCAAGGCGACGAUGCGUAGCCGACCUGAGAGGGUGAUCGGCCACACUGGGACUGAGACACGGCCCAGACUCCUACGGGAGGCAGCAGUAGGGAAUCUUCCACAAUGGGCGAAAGCCUGAUGGAGCAACGCCGCGUGAGCGAAGAAGGUCUUCGGAUCGUAAAGCUCUGUUGUAAGGGAAGAACAAGUGCAGUAGUAACUGGCUGCACCUUGACGGUACCUUACUAGAAAGCCACGGCUAACUACGUGCCAGCAGCCGCGGUAAUACGUAGGUGGCAAGCGUUGUCCGGAAUUAUUGGGCGUAAAGCGCGCGCAGGCGGUCUCUUAAGUCUGAUGUGAAAGCCCCCGGCUUAACCGGGGAGGGUCAUUGGAAACUGGGAGACUUGAGUGCAGGAGAGGGAAGCGGAAUUCCAUGUGUAGCGGUGAAAUGCGUAGAGAUAUGGAGGAACACCAGUGGCGAAGGCGGCUUCCUGGCCUGNUACUGACGCUGAGGCGCGAAAGCGUGGGGAGCAAACAGGAUUAGAUACCCUGGUAGUCCACGCCGUAAACGAUGAGUGCUAAGUGUUUAGGGGGGUUUCACCCCCUUAGUGCUGCAGCUAACGCAUUAAGCACUCCGCCUGGGGAGUACGGUCGCAAGACUGAAA